GCACCAUUCGGGGACAUCCGAUAAAAAUUAGCAUGACCCCUGCGCAAGGAUGACACGGACAAAUCGAGAAAUGGUCCAAAUUUGU
rnacentral:snRNA from 1 species